rnacentral:rRNA from 1 species
UAUUACCGCGGCUGCUGGCACGGAGUUAGCCGGUGCUUCUUCUGUAGGUAACGUCAAGCCUCAUGGGUAUUAGCCAUAAGGUUUUCCUCCCUACUGAAAGUGCUUUACAACCCGAAAGCCUUCUUCACACACGCGGCAUGGCUGGAUCAGGGUUGCCCCCAUUGUCCAAUAUUCCCCACUGCUGCCUCCCGUAGGAGU